GCAACUAGAAAACUAUACGGACCACUUUUGGGGAACUGAGUUGCUUUGGAAUUUCUGAGGACCCCCACAAAUGUCUCAAAUGGCCAAGAAAUUGAAGAUGAGUUGCAGUUGGAUUAGAGUCAAAAGUUCCAGAGCAGCAGUCCCAAGGAAGAAGAGUAUGCAGAAAUGAGGCAUUUGGCUGCUUAAGAAAUCAAAAGACAGACACAAAAACAGCUUUUAUAAGGCUAUUACAUUCAUCAC
rnacentral:lncRNA from 13 species